AAGUUGCAAUGGGCAAAUCAUCUAGUUUCUCAUGUGCAUGUGGUGAGGCUGGGGUGGGGGGAACUGAGAUCUGCUUUAUUCUCAUUGUUAUUUUCAUUUGAUUCGUUAUUUAUCAACUUAUUCAUGAAUCACACAUCAUUUUUUUUUUCCUCAGUGGAGAUAUGCAGUUUUCUUUUCCCCAGAAAAAGGAGAUUGAACAGUAAAUAUUUGAUUUUUAUGUACAUUCUUCUGGUGUCUGACUUGUUCUCCUGGUUAUAAGAGCUCUGUGUGCAGCUGGACAAUUCGUUACUUCUAAUCCUAAAACAAAAAAUGGAUUUUAAAUGAAUCUAUAGCUAGGUUUUUCUCUCCCCCUUCUUUUGCCUAAUCUUUGAA